GGGGAAUUUUCCGCAAUGGGCNNAAGCCUGUACGGAGCAAUCUCGCGUGUAGGGCUGNCGGCCUAUGGGUUGUAAACCUCUUUUUUCAGGGUAGGNAUCAAAUGNCGUGUACCUGAAGNAUAAGCAUCGGCUAACUCCGUGCCAGCAGCCGCGGUAAGNCGGAGGAUGCAAGUGUUAUCCGGAAUCACUGGGCGUAAAGCGUCUGUAGGUGGUUUAGUAAGUCAACUGUUAAAUCUUGNGAGCUUAACUUCAAAAUCGCAGUCGAAACUGCUAGACUAGAGUAUAGUAGGGGUAAAGGGAAUUUCCAGUGGAGCGGUGAAAUGCGUAGAGAUUGGAAAGAACACCGAUGGCGAAGGCACUUUACUGGGCUAUUACUGACACUCAGAGACGAAAGCUAGGGUAGCAAAUGGGAUUAGAUACCCCAGUAGUC
rnacentral:rRNA from 1 species